GCGCGCGUGCUGGAAUUGGUAGACAGGCUAGCUUGAGGUGCUAGUGCUCGCAAGGGCGUGGAGGUUCAAGUCCUCUCGCGCGCACCA
rnacentral:tRNA from 1 species